rnacentral:tRNA from 1 species
GUCAGGAUGGCCGAGUGGUCUAAGGCGCCAGACUCAAGUUCUGGUCUCUGUAUAAAGGCGUGGGUUCGAACCCCACUCCUGACA